rnacentral:rRNA from 1 species
AUUGAACGCUGGCGGCAUGCCUUACACAUGCAAGUCGAACGGCAGCACGGGUGCUUGCACCUGGUGGCGAGUGGCGAACGGGUGAGUAAUACAUCGGAACAUGUCCUGUAGUGGGGGAUAGCCCGGCGAAAGCCGGAUUAAUACCGCAUACGAUCUACGGAUGAAAGCGGGGGACCUUCGGGCCUCGCGCUAUAGGGUUGGCCGAUGGCUGAUUAGCUAGUUGGUGGGGUAAAGGCCUACCAAGGCGACGAUCAGUAGCUGGUCUGAGAGGACGACCAGCCACACGGGGACUGAGACACGGCCCAGACUCCUGCGGGAGGCAGCAGUGGGGAAUUUUGGACAAUGGGCGAAAGCCUGAUCCAGCAAUGCCGCGUGUGUGAAGAAGGCCUUCGGGUUGUAAAGCACUUUUGUCCGGAAAGAAAUCCUUGGCCCUAAUACGGUCGGGGGAUGACGGUACCGGAAGAAUAAGCACCGGCUAACUACGUG